rnacentral:rRNA from 1 species
GACGAACGCUGGCGGCGUGCUUAACACAUGCAAGUCGAGCGGUAAGGCCCUUUCGGGGGUACACGAGCGGCGAACGGGUGAGUAACACGUGGGUGACCUGCCCUCAGCUCUGGGAUAAGCCUGGGAAACCGGGUCUAAUACCGGAUAUGACUCCAUGACGCAUGUUGUGGGGUGGAAAGCCUUGUGCGGCUGAGGAUGGGCCCGCGGCCUAUCAGCUUGUUGGUGGGGUGAUGGCCUACCAAGGCGACGACGGGUAGCCGGCCUGAGAGGGCGACCGGCCACACCGGGACUGAGACACGGCCCAGACUCCUACGGGAGGCAGCAGUGGGGAAUCUUGCGCAAUGGGCGAAAGCCUGACGCAGCGACGCCGCGUGAGGGAUGACGGCCUGG